UACGGCCGCAUCACGUUGAAAAAUCGGUUCCCGUGCGAUCACUGAAGUUAAGCAACGGCGGGCCUGGUUAGAUGGGUGACCGUUUGGGAAUACCAAGUGCUGUAAG